UUCCGGGUGAUGAAGAAAAUCGUUCGGAUUCCCACUGAUAUUUCAUGACUAGUGUAACUGUUGGGGAACGUUGCAGAA